AUUGAACGCUGGCGGCAGGCCUAACACAUGCAAGUCGAGCGGUUGACGGGAGCUUGCUCCCUGAUUCAGCGGCGGACGGGUGAGUAAUGCCUAGGAAUCUGCCUAUUAGUGGGGGACAACGUUCCGAAAGGAGCGCUAAUACCGCAUACGUCCUACGGGAGAAAGCAGGGGACCUUCGGGCCUUGCGCUAAUAGAUGAGCCUAAGUCGGAUUAGCGAGUUGGUAGGGUAAAGGCCUACCAAGGCGACGAUCUGUAGCGGGUCUGAGAGGAUGAUCCGCCACACUGGGACUGAGACACGGCGCAGACUCCUACGGGAGGCAGCAGUGGGGAAUAGUGGAAAAUGGGGGGAACCCUGAUCCAGCCAUGCCGCGUGUGCGAAGAAGGCCUUUUGGUUGUAAAGCACUUUAAGCGAGGAGGAGGCUACCUAGAUUAAUACUUUAGGAUAGUGGACGUUACUCGCAGAAUAAGCACCGGCUAACUCUGUGCCAGCCGCCGCCGUAAAAC
rnacentral:rRNA from 1 species